GGUGUGGGGAAUGUUGCCUUGGCUCGAGAGACAGAUAUAUGAUAUGAUAUGAUGUGUGUGUCCAUGUCAUGCAUGCAUUCAGUGGCAAUGAUAUAUAUCAGCACUUGUGUGUGUUUCUCGGACCAGGCUUCAUUCCCCUCACU
rnacentral:pre_miRNA from 1 species